GCAGGGUACAUUUUUGCGGGUCAGGUCAGUGAGAGGCUCAGCUAGGGUGCUAUAAUUGGGAACAAAUUUCCUGUAGUAACGCCACCAAAAGCCCAUUAUUUGGGUCUUAGUGCGUGGGAGAGGUCAAUUGGUUACUACCUCAGUCUUGGCUGGUUCGGGCUUCUGUUUCCCAUACUAGAGGUACUGCACCUCUGCCAUGCCUAUGUGGCAUUUGCUGGGCUUCAAUGUUAACCCUGCCUCUCUAAUCUUGUCUAGUUUGGCUCGUACAUGUAUCAGAUGCUCCUCCCAAGUGUCGCUGAAUACAUCAAUGUCAUCCAGAUAUGCGCAAGCAUAAUCCUGGAGGCCAUCUAAAAGCCUAUCCACCAUCCUUUGGAAGGUGGCUGGGGCAUUAUUUAUUCUGAAUGGCAGUACUUCGAAUUGAAGUGGAUAGUGACAAAUGCCGACUUAGGAAUAUCUGCCGCUAAAUCGAUUUACCAGUAGACCUUACAUAAGUCAAUAGUAGUAAGGUACUGACCCCGAGCCAUUCUAUCCAAGAGCUUGUCUAUGGGGUACGCAUCUGAGACGGUUUUGUCGUUGAGCCUCUUGGAUUUUGUACGGGGUUUGGCGUAGAGGUUGUUGGUUGUGAGUUUCUACUCUAUAGCGGGUGAGGGGGGUGAAUCCAGGUAAGAUAGAGAACGUGUCUCUUUUUGCCGACAGCAUCUGUUGUGUUUGCCUGCGUUCUUCACUGGUCCUCAUUUAUGGACCCUGCCUGAACUCCUUUCUCUAGGAGAUCAGGUAGGGGAAGAUUAUAAAAAUCUUCCGAGGCCGGAGCACAAAUAGCGGCUACAUCCUCC